CAGUCGCCGCGGGAAUACGUAGGGUGCAAGCGUUAAUCGGAAUUACUGGGCGUAGAGCGUGCGCAGGCGGUUGUGUAAGUCUGAUGUGAAAGCCCCGGGCUCAACCUGGGAACUGCAUUGGAGACUGCACGGCUAGAGUGCGUCAGAGGGGGGUAGAAUUCCGCGUGUAGCAGUGAAAUGCGUAGAGAUGCGGAGGAAUACCGAUGGCGAAGGCAGCCCCCUGGGAUGACACUGACGCUCAUGCACGAAAGCGUGGGGAGCAAACAGGAUUAGAUACCCGGGUAGUCCCUGUCUCUUAUAC
rnacentral:rRNA from 1 species